GUGAAUCAUCGAAUUUUUGAACGCAAAUUGCACUCCCUUCGGAGAGUAUGAGUGUUUGAGGGUCAGUAUUAAUAAAAAUCGGUGUGUUGUUUCUUUGUGACGCUCCGGAGUUUGGGUCAUUUUAAUAUCUUUUAGGUUUUAAGAGGCUUAAAAUUGGCUUUUUUUGCGAAUAUUAGAUGUACAUAAAUUCUUUUCUUUAUUUGUCUGUCUUAAUGCUCAUAAUACUAUUAGUUGCGAGCAUAUCGUGUGGUUUCGUUUGUAUAUAUUUUUUAUGAUUUGUGAUCAAAUUAGGUAGG
rnacentral:misc_RNA from 1 species